AAGAUGUUCUGUUUGCAAUGACUUUGAGAGCUUUAUUUUUUAAGAGAAACAUCUUAUAUAAAAGGAUGUAUCAAGUAAGAAUUCAUUUAGGCAAAAAUGAAGAUUUUUUUCCCUCUCUCCUUUAGUUAAAAAUCAGGAGUUUCCUUCUCGAGAAAAGGGGGAUCCGGACGCCGGACGACUCUCCUCCUAGAUUGUCAUCAGGCAUUAAUGAUGUCACCCACCCUUCGAAGACAUCAACAGCGCUACGCAGAGGGUGGCAUCAUUCCAUCCCAUUGCCAGACUCCCUUCCAGCUUCCUACGCAAAGAGAUGACAUGAGUGAUCCUCCC